rnacentral:rRNA from 1 species
UAUCUCUGUAGAGUCUGCAUAUCAAUAAGCGGAGGAAAAGAAACUAACUAGGAUUCCCUCAGUAACGGCGAGUGAAGCGGGAAGAGCUCAAAUUUGAAAUCUUCAAGGUUCUACCUUGACGAAUUGUAGUUUAAAGAAGUGUUUUCUGUUGGAGUUUUGGUAAAAGUUCUUUGGAAUAGGACAUCAUAGAGGGUGAGAAUCCCGUAUUUGACCAUUAUUUCCAACUUUGUGAUACACUUUCAAAGAGUCGGAUUGUUUGGGAAUGCAGUCCAAAAUGGGUGGUAAAUUUCAUCUAAAGCUAAAUACUGGCGAGAGACCGAUAGCGAACAAGUACCGUGAGGGAAAGAUGAAAAGAACUUUGAAAAGAGAGUUAAACAGUACGUGAAAUUGUCAAAAGGGAAGCGUUUGACACCAGUGUUGUUUUCUCGAAAAUCAAUUAAAAAAGGAUUGGGAUUUUGUGUUGUAUUGACUUUAUCAGCUUUCUAGCACUCUUUUCUUGUCUUUUUUAAUGCACUUUUCGUUUAACAAGUCAACAUCAAUUUCUUUCGUUGUAAAAGAGGUCAUUGGAAGGUGGCUUUCACUUCGGUGAAAGUGUUUAUAGCCUUUGGCUUCUGCAAUCGGAGAGAUUGAGGUCUGCAGCGUAGAUCCUUCGGGGUUAGAUACGUAGAUGCUAAGUUAUAGUUUUUUAUAGACAACUUGUUGACUAUAAUUAAUCAUGUAGCUUACUCGUUUGCGCUAUUUUACCUACGCUUAGGAUGUUGAUCUCUCACAGUCGAGC